GACAGAGGGGGCAAGCGUUGCUCGGAAUCACUGGGCGUAAAGGGCGCGUAGGCGGUCUGUCGCGUCGAAUGUGAAAACCCGGGGCUCAACUCCGGGCUUGCAUUCGAUACGGGCAGGCUAGAGUUCGGUAGGGGAGUCUGGAAUUCCUGGUGUAGCGGUGAAAUGCGCAGAUAUCAGGAGGAACACCGGUGGCGAAGGCGGGACUCUGGGCCGAUACUGACGCUGAGGAGCGAAAGCGUGGGGAGCGAACAGG
rnacentral:rRNA from 1 species